GAUCAAGUCAAUAAGGGCAUGUGAUGGAUGUCUUGGCGUCAAGAGGCGAUGAAGGACGUAGGAACCUGCGAUAAGCCCGGGGGAACUGGUAACCAAGUUACGAUCCCGGGAUUUCCGAAUGGGGCAACCCGGCUCUUUAUGAGUCAUCCACGGCUGAAUGUAUAGGCCGUGUGAAGCGAACCUCGUGAACUGAAACAUCUUAGUAGCGAGAGGAAAGGAAAGCAACAGCGACUCCGUUAGUAGCGCCGAGCGAAAGCGGAUCAGCCAGCAGACUGCGCGAAUGGCAUUGAAUGGCCAACCACAGAAGGUGAUGGUCCUGUAGUGCAGAAGCUGGUUAGCCCUAGAGUAGGGUCGGACUCGUGAAAUCCGGCCUGAACACGGGGGGACCACCCUCCAAGGCUAAGUACUCCUUGACGACCGAUAGUGAACCAGUAAGGCGACUGAAUGAUGAAAAGAACCCCGAUAAGGGGAGUUCAAAGAACCUGAAAUCACAUGCUUACACAGCGGUUGCAGCCCGUAAGGGUAGCAGCGUGCCUUUUGCAUAAUGAUCUGGCGAGUUACUCUCUACGGCAAGGCUAAGCCAUACCCUGGCGCAGCCGAAGGGAAACCAAGUCUUCAAAGGGCGUGUAGUCGUAGGGGGUAGACGCGAAACUGCGGUGAUCUACCCAUGGGCAGGUUGAAGAGAGGGUAAAACCUCUUGGAGGACCGAAGCCGUGAACGUUGAAAAGUUCUGGCAUGACCUGUGGGGAGGAGUUAAAGUCUAAUCAUACCCAGAGAUAUCUCGUUCUCCCCGAAAUAGUUUUUGGACUAGCCUCGUGUAUCACAAGUUGGGGGUAGAGCUACUGAAUGGAUUUGGAGGGCACACCGCCUAUCCGGUCUAAUCAAACUCCGAAUACCAACUUGGCAGGCACGGGAGUAAGACUACGAGGGAUAAUCUUCGUGGUCAAAAGGGAAACAACCCGGACCACCAGCUAAGGUCCCUAAUCGAAUCUAAGUUAGAAAGGUAGUCGGAUUGCUGUGACAGCUAGGAUGUUGGCUUAGAAGCAGCCACCAUUUAAAAAGUGCGUAACAGCUUACUAGUCGAGGAAUCCGGCGCCGAUAAUUAUCGGGAAUAAGGUUCGUACCGAAGCUGUGGACUAAUAAUAUUAGUGGUAGGGGAGCGUUGCUGUCAGCUGUGAAGCUUUCCCGGUAAGGGUUGGUGGAGCGGCAGCAAGUGAAUAUGCCAGAUUGAGUAACGAUAAAUGGAGUGAGAAUCUCCAUCGCCGUAAGCCCAAGGUUUCCUGGGGAAGGUAAUUCCGCCCAGGGUUAGUCGGAUCCUAAGACGAGGCUGACAAGCGUAGUCGAUGGACAUACGGUCAACAUUCCGUGACCUGCAUAGAAGGCCAAGCCGACGUGACGAAUUUCAAAGCUCAACGGGACAGUGAAGCGUCCAGGCCCUUGAGGCCGAUGUUGGGCAGAGAAGUUCCAAGAAAAACCGUUCGGAUACAACUAUGCAGUCCGUACCAAAACUGACACAGGUGGGCGUGGCGAAUAGCCUCAGGCGCUCGAGAAAACGGUCGUGAAGGAACUAGGCAAUUUUACCCCGUACGUUCGCAAUAAGGGGGCCCUCCUCGCAAGAGAGGGCGCAGAGAAAAGGCUCUGGGAACUGUUUAUCAAAAACACAGCACUGUGCUAACUCGUAAGAGGACGUAUACAGUGUGACGCUUGCCCGGUGCCGGAACGUCAAGGGAGCUGGUUAGCGCAAGCGAAGCUAGCGACCGAAGCGCCGGUAAACGGCGGCCGUAACUAUGACGGUCCUAAGGUAGCGAAAUUCCUUGUCGGGUAAGUUCCGACGCGCAUGAAUAGCGUAAUCACUGGAGCACUGUCUCCAC
rnacentral:rRNA from 1 species